CAGCAGCCACGGUAAUACGAAGGGGGGCAAGCGUUGUUCGGAAUUAUUGGGCGUAAAGCGCACGUAGGCGGAUCGAUCAGUCAGGGGUGAAAUCCCAGAGCUCAACUCUGGAACUGCCUUUGAUACUGUCGAUCUGGAGUAUGGAAGAGGUGAGUGGAAUUCCGAGUGUAGAGGUGAAAUUCGUAGAUAUUCGGAGGAACACCAGUGGCGAAGGCGGCUCACUGGUCCAUUACUGACGCUGAGGUGCGAAAGCGUGGGGAGCAAGCAGGAUUAGAUACCCCCGUAGUCCCUGUCUCUUAUA
rnacentral:rRNA from 1 species